UACAGAGGGGGCAAGCGUUAUUCGGAAUUAUUGGGCGUAAAGGGCGCGUAGGCGGCUUUGCAAGUGGAAGGUGAAAUCCCUCGGCUUAACCGAGGAACUGCCCUCCAAACUGCUUGGCUUGAGACCGGGAGAGGUGAGUGGAAUUCCCAGUGUAGCGGUGAAAUGCGUAGAGAUGCGGAGGAACACCGAUGGCGAAGGCAACCCCCUGGGCUGACACUGACGCUCAGGCACGAAAGCGUGGGGAGCAAACAGG
rnacentral:rRNA from 1 species